GUCAGCAGCCAUAUCACCCUGCAACUCACAACUGGCAACCCACUGAAGCUAAGCAGGUGUGAGCCUGGUCAGUACCUGGAAGGGAGACCUCCUGGGAAAAACUAAGGUUGCUGCUGGAA
ensembl:rRNA 5S_rRNA 5S ribosomal RNA